rnacentral:rRNA from 1 species
AGAGUUUGAUCCUGGCUCAGAGCGAACGCUGGCGGCAGACCUAACACAUGCAAGUCGAGCGCCCCGCAAGGGGAGCGGCAGACGGGAGAGUAACACGUGGGAACGUACCCUUUGGUUCGGAACAACCCAGGGAAACUUGGGCUAAUACCGGAUAAGCCCUUACGGGGAAAGAUUCAUCGCCGAAGGAUCGGCCCGCGUCUGAUUAGCUAGUUGGUGGGGUAACGGCCCACCAAGGCGACGAUCAGUAGCUGGUCUGAGAGGAUGAUCAGCCUCACUGGGACUGAGACACGGCCCAGACUCCUACGGGAGGCAGCAGUGGGGAAUAUUGGACAAUGGGCGCAAGCCUGAUCCAGCCAUGCCGCGUGGGUGAUGAAGGCCCUAGGGUUGUAAAGCCCUUUCGGCGGGGAAGAUAAUGACGGUACCCGCAGAAGAAGCCCCGGCUAACUUCGUGCCAGCAGCCGCGGUAAU